rnacentral:misc_RNA from 1 species
GAUGAAGAACGUAGCGAAAUGCGAUACUUGGUGUGAAUUGCAGAAUCCCGUGAACCAUCGAGUCUUUGAACGCAAGUUGCGCCCGAAGCCAUUAGGCCGAGGGCACGCCUGCCUGGGCGUCACACGUCGUUGCCCCCCCAUCUACUCCUUCGGGAUUGCGGGGGGCGGAUGAUGGCCUCCCGUGCGCCUCGUCGCGCGGUUGGCAUAAAUGCCAAGUCCUCGGCGACGCACGCCACGACAAUCGGUGGUUGCGAAACCUCGGUUGCCCGUCGUGUGCGGUCGUCGCGCAUCGAGGGCUCGAAAAAAUUGUAGGGCUCCGGCUCGGCUUUCAACGCGACCCCAGGUCAGGCGGGGUUACCCGCUGAAUUUAAGCAUAUCAAUAAGCGGAGGA